ensembl:snoRNA U3 Small nucleolar RNA U3
AAGAUGAUACCUUCAGGGAUCAUUUCUAUAGUUCCUUACUAGAGAAGUUUCUCUGUGUAGAGUACCGGAAACCAUGAAUAGGUCCAGUGUUCUCUCCUGAGUGUGAAGCUGGCGCUGGGCAUUAUUUUGUACAGCUGUCCAUUGCUACUGAUGAUCGUUCUUCUCUCCUCUUGGGAGAGUUAGAGGAAAAGAAUUCAGUCUCACUGGC